AGUGAACGCUGGCGGUAGGCCUAACACAUGCAAGUCGAACGGCAGCACAGUAAGAGCUUGCCCUUACGGGUGGCGAGUGGCGGACGGGUGAGGAAUACAUCGGAAUCUACUUUUUCGUGGGGGAUAACGUAGGGAAACUUACGCUAAUACCGCAUACGACCUACGGGUGAAAGCAGGGGAUCUUCGGACCUUGCGCGAUUGAAUGAGCCGAUGUCGGAUUAGCUAGUUGGCGGGGUAAAGGCCCACCAAGGCGACGAUCCGUAGCUGGUCUGAGAGGAUGAUCAGCCACACUGGAACUGAGACACGGUCCAGACUCCUACGGGAGGCAGCAGUGGGGAAUAUUGGAUAAUGGGCGCAAGCCUGAUCCAGCCAUACCGCGUGGGUGAAGAAGGCCUUCGGGUUGUAAAGCCCUUUUGUUGGGAAAGAAAAGCAGCAGGUUAAUACCCCGCUGUUCUGACGGUACCCAAAGAAUAAGCACCGGCUAACUUCGUG
rnacentral:rRNA from 1 species